UACGUAGGGGGCUAGCGUUGUCCGGAUUUAUUGGGCGUAAAGAGCUCGUAGGCGGCUUGUCGCGUCAACUGUGAAAACCCGUGGCUCAACCAUGUGGUCUGCAGUCGAUACGGGCAGGCUAGAAUUCGGUAGGGGAGACUGGAAUUCCUGGUGUAGCGGUGAAAUGCGCAGAUAUCAGGAGGAACACCGGUGGCGAAGGCGGGUCUCUGGGCCGAUAUUGACGCUGAGGAGCGAAAGCGUGGGGAGCGAACAGG
rnacentral:rRNA from 1 species